rnacentral:rRNA from 1 species
AUUGAACGCUGGCGGCAUGCCUUACACAUGCAAGUCGAACGGUAACAGGUUAAGCUGACGUGUGGCGAACGGGUGAGUAAUGUAUCGGAACGUGCCCAGUCGUGGGGGAUAACUGCUCGAAAGAGCAGCUAAUACCGCAUACGACCUGAGGGUUAAAGCGGGGGAUCGCAAGACCUCGCACGAUUGGAGCGGCCGAUAUCAGAUUAGGUAGUUGGUGGGGUAAAGGCUCACCAAGGCGACGAUCUGUAGCUGGUCUGAGAGGACGACCAGCCACACUGGAACUGAGACACGGCCCAGACUCCUACGGGAGGCAGCAGUGGGGAAUUUUGGACAAUGGGCGCAAGCCUGAUCCAGCCAUGCCGCGUGCGGGAAGAAGGCCUUCGGGUUGUAAACCGCUUUUGUCAGGGAAGAAAAGGUUCUGGCUAAUACCUGGGACUCAUGACGGUACCUGAAGAAUAAGCACCGGCUAACUACGUG